rnacentral:rRNA from 1 species
GUUCCUACGGGGGGCAGCAGUGGGGAAUAUUGCACAAUGGGGGAAACCCUGAUGCAGCGACGCCGCGUGAGUGAAGAAGUAUUUCGGUAUGUAAAGCUCUAUCAGCAGGGAAGAAAUAGCGACCUUUGGGUCGCCAGACGGUACCUGAUUAAGAAGCCCCGGCUAACUACGUGCCAGCAGCCGCGGUAAUACGUAGGGAGCAAGCGUUAUCCGGAUUUACUGGGUGUAAAGGGCGUGUAGGCGGGCUUGUAAGUCAGAAGUGAAAUCUGGGGGCUUAACCCCCAAACUGCUUUUGAAACUGCGGG